AGUGAACGCUGGCGGCAGGCCUAAUACAUGCAAGUCGAACGGCAGCACAGCAGAGCUUGCUCUGUGGGUGGCGAGUGGCGGACGGGUGAGGAAUACAUGGGAAUCUGCCCAGUCGUGGGGAUAACGUAUGGAAACGUAACGCUAAUACCGCAUGCGCCCUACGGGGAAAGCCGGGACCGAAAGGCCUGGCGCGAUUGGAUGAGCCCAUGUUCGAUUAGCUAGUUGGCGGGGUAAAGGCCCGACCAAGGCGACGAUCGAUAGCUGGUCUGAGAGGAUGAUCAGCCACACUGGAACUGAGACACGGUCCAGACUCCUACGGGAGGCAGCAGUAGGGAAUAUUGGACAAUGGGGGCAACCCUGAUCCAGCCAUGCCGCGUGAGUGAAGAAGGCCCUCGGGUUGUAAAGCUCUUUUGUCCGGAAAGAAAAGCAAUCGGUUAAUACCCGGUUGUUCUGACGGUACCGGAAGAAUAAGCACCGGCUAACUUCGUGCCAGCAGCCG
rnacentral:rRNA from 1 species